GUAUAAUGGGUCAGCGACUUAUAUUCUGUAGCAAGGUUAACCGUAUAGGGGAGCCGGAGGGAAACCGAGUCUUAACCGGGCGUUAAGUUGCAGGGUAUAGACCCGAAACCCGGUGAUCUAGCCAUGGGCAGGUUGAAGGUUGGGUAACACUAACUGGAGGACCGAACCGACUAAUGUUGAAAAAUUAGCGGAUGACCUGUGGCUGGGGGUGAAAGGCCAAUCAAACCGGGAGAUAGCUGGUUCUCCCCGAAAGCUAUUUAGGUAGCGCCUCGUGAAUUCAUCUCCGGGGGUAGAGCACUGUUUCGGCUAGGGGGCCAUCCCGGCUUACCAACCCGAUGCAAACUGCGAAUACCGGAGAAUGUUAUCACGGGAGACACACGGCGGGUGCUAACGUCCGUCGUGAAGAGGGAAACAACCCAGACCGCCAGCUAAGGUCCCAAAGUCAUGGUUAAGUGGGAAACGAUGUGGGAAGGCCCAGACAGCCAGGAUGUUGGCUUAGAAGCAGCCAUCAUUUAAAGAAAGCGUAAUAGCUCACUGGUCGAGUCGGCCUGCGCGGAAGAUGUAACGGGGCUAAACCAUGCACCGAAGCUGCGGCAGCGACGCUGAUGCGUUGUUGGGUAGGGGAGCGUUCUGUAAGCCUGCGAAGGUGGCCUGUGAGGGUUGCUGGAGGUAUCAGAAGUGCGAAUGCUGACAUAAGUAACGAUAAAGCGGGUGAAAAGCCCGCUCGCCGGAAGACCAAGGGUUCCUGUCCAACGUUAAUCGGGGCAGGGUGAGUCGACCCCUAAGGCGAGGCCGAAAGGCGUAGUCGAUGGGAAACGGGUUAAUAUUCCCGUACUUGGUGUUACUGCGAAGGGGGGACGGAGAAGGCUAUGUUGGCCGGGCGACGGUUGUCCCGGUUUAAGCGUGUAGGUGUGUGUUCCAGGUAAAUCCGGUUCACUUUAACACUGAGGCGUGAUGACGAGGCACUACGGUGCUGAAGCAACAAAUGCCCUGCUUCCAGGAAAAGCCUCUAAGCAUCAGGUAACAUCAAAUCGUACCCCAAACCGACACAGGUGGUCAGGUAGAGAAUACCAAGGCGCUUGAGAGAACUCGGGUGAAGGAACUAGGCAAAAUGGUGCCGUAACUUCGGGAGAAGGCACGCUGACA
rnacentral:rRNA from 1 species